ACCACUAGGACAUGUUGAGACAGGUAGCUGGGGACUGAGGACCACUAGGACAUGUUGAGACAGGUAGCUGGGGACUGAGGACCACUAGGACAUAUUGAGACAGGUAGCUGGGGACUGAGGACCAUUAGGACAUGUUGAGACAGGUAGCUGGGGACUGAGGACCACUGACAUGUUGAGACAGGUAGCUGGGGACUGAGGACCACUAGGACAUGUUGAGACAGGUAGCUGGGGACUGAGGACCACUAGGACAUGUUGAGACAGGUAGCUGGGGACUGAGGACCACUGGGACAUGUUGAGACAGGUAGCUGGGGACUGAGGACCACUAGGACAUGUUGAGACAGGUAGCUGGGGACUGAGGACCACUGACAUGUUGAGACAGGUAGCUGGGGACUGAGGACCACUAGGACAUGUUGAGACAGGUAGCUGGGGACUGAGGACCACUGACAUGUUGAGACAGGUAGCUGGGGACUGAGGACCACUAGGACAUGUUGAGACAGGUAGCUGGGGACUGAGGACCACUAGGACAUGUUGAGACAGGUAGCUGGGGACUGAGGACCACUAGGACAUGUUGAGACAGGUAGCUGGGGACUGAGGACCACUAGGACAUGUUGAGACAGGUAGCUGGGGACUGAGGACCACUAGGACAUGUUGAGACAGGUAGCUGGGGA